rnacentral:rRNA from 1 species
CGCGUAGGCGGCCGUUUAAGUCAGGUGUGAAAGCCCGGGGCUUAACCCCGGAAGUGCAUUUGAUACUGAGCGGCUUGAGUAUGGGAGAGGGAAGUGGAAUUCCUGGUGUAGAGGUGAAAUUCGUAGAUAUCAGGAGGAACACCGGUGGCGAAGGCGACUUCCUGGACCAAUACUGACGCUGAGGCGCGAAGGCGUGGGGAUCAAACA